UACGUGCGAGGCUGAGAGCAACCACCCGAUCUGCCCUGAGGCGCCAUUAGAGCACUAGCUGUUCUGUACUUCUGUCUCCACGAAGAAGUUAUCUCCUUUAGCAAAUUGGGCUUGGGCCUCUCUGUUCUUUCACUUCUCAUCCAGUUGAAAAUAAGUUACUUUGAGCUCCUUCUUCAUCUAGAAUAAUGCUUAGGCUCUCGGUAUGAUAAUCGCUACGUUAAUUCGCUUGGCACACCAAUUUUGGCGCAGAACAGCCAGCGUGCCUGCUCUGCAUCGAAAUUCAGAAAUAAGCACUAAUGCAACAGUAGGGCUAGUUUGCAACUUGUGCAGCACAGAAUUGAAAAGCAGUCAGCCGUUCACCUAGGCUGCAUCGCUGUUUCCACGAAAUUGGGCCUUUCUCAUAUUUCCUUUUGCAGUUUGCUUCAGAAAAACAGCACUUGUGUGUUAUGUCAUGUCGACCUCUUACAAUCACGUGAGCUCAAUCCCUGACCAUGAGAUGUGUAACCACGGCGUGUAGUUGCUUUAGUGCUUUACUGAACCUUCUACACACCACCAUGGCAUGAAGCGCCAUGGUUUAGUAAUUAGGUGUUUGUUCCCUAAAAAAGUAAUUAGCUUUUUGUAGCCUUGAUUGUAAAAAAGGUGUUUGUUGCUUGCGGAGAUAGAAAACAGUGGCUGAACCUAACAAACUAAUAUCUCUGAAAAAAGGCGUUUGUUGCUUGCGCAGAUAGAAAACAGUUAUCUAUAUUUUCGGGUAUCCUACUUUGGUCUUAAUAUGCUUAUAUUGGUGAAUGUAGUUGUUGUGUCGUAGAACUUUAACUUUAUCUUUGUGCAAUCAGAAAUCGUAGUUUGCCCUUCGCCACCUCACGCCGCUGCAAUUGGAUUGAUCGCCCUUGUGAUUUCCCUUGCUAUGGUCGCCUAAUAGAGAGAGAUUCAAGGGCCAUCCCAGUUUGGACAAUCAAAUGUGUUCACAAAUGACAUCCACAUUGGUCGUACUAGGUCCUAAUGGCGAUGCCACUGAUUUUAGUAUGUUGGUUGAGAUUCAAGUUGAUCUGUGCUAGUUCUAGGCUAACCAAAAUUUAUGUUCAUUUAUGAAAAAGUAUCUGUCUGAUAUAGACGUGAUUACUGUGUAGAAAAGUACCACUGUUUCUUGUCCAGUGCACUAUUUCUCUGUUUACCUACUGUUAGUGCCGACCAACAUUUUCAUCUUUACUUUUCAGUCAUACUCAUGCGUGUUCCGUUCAUGUGCAUGUGUUUACUAUGUGGUGACUGACAGGGAGCGUACCGUUGGUUACCAAUCACUGCACAAUAGUCCAAAUUUUUUCCGCUUAAUGUUCAUUGCCCAACACGCUAGAGCGCACGCUGAGCCUUGUUUUUCCUACCACUUACUACUGCAGUGCUGCAGGAACCAAGCUAAGCUCCAGCACAACCUCAUGUACCACAUGUACAUGUAGGCCAAAAGAAUUCUAAAAGAGGGUCUUGGGGUUUCGUUACCAUUUAUUUGGUGUGUGCCGUUUGGGUUUGUAUCUUGGUUCUUGGUUUUAUAGACCAUGCGUGGUUGUGUGUGUCUUAUUCUUCGGGUUUUGGUUUUUGGUUUUGGGGGGUUCGAUACAUUCUGCAUCAACAUACACUGCUAGCUGCCCAUGGAGAUCAGAACUAAUGAAUAAACAAAUCCUGGUUGUUUUUUCAUUUAGGAUGCUUAUGCCGUCGAGAUCAAUGAGCAUGGAAUAGCAGCACGAGACAGAGGCGCAUUUGAUUGGGAACUUAUUCCGGUGUGUGCAUUAUUUGAGGGCCCAAAAACUCCCUUGUUCUGUAUGAAAUAUUGUCUCAUAGGUACCAAUUUCAAACAUAUAUUAUCGACCAGGUUGACAUUCCUUCUGGUAGAGGCAGACCACCAGUUUUUGUUGCAAGGAUGAAAGUCUUGCAAAGGUAGUCCUGCAAUAUAGUGCUCCCUUUAAACAUUGUAGCAUAAUUAAUAUGCAGCCAGAGUCUAGUAUGAUAGCACAAUCUUGAGUAAAGCAUUUGAAUUUAAGCUAGUAGAUAUUGAUCUUUGUGAUUGAAGUGUGUCUGUUUAAUACCUCUAAAAUCAAUAAUUGAUACUUCUUAGUGCAGCAUUGUAGCUUUAUUUUUACACGAUCAGAUUACCUUUGGUACAGUGGUAAAUUUAUCAUCUCAAGAGUGUACUGAAGCUAUAUUACUUUGUAGCUUGAAUUUUAGGCUUUCUCCAUGGUUACUAUAAGUUAUGUAAAGCAAUGUUUACCUAGAAGUGCAACUGUAGUGCCAUUCUUAUCUUUUAAUGUACAACGACGGUGUCGCUGCACUUGUGCUAGUCAGUGUGGAGAAAGCUAAGAACCUUGGUCUUCAAGUUCUUGCAAGGACCAGAGGGUAUGCUGAUGUUGCUCGGAAGUAGGGGACUCGGCCUUCUUCACAUCGCGACAGUGUCUUACUUUGAUUUGUUCGUGUAACAAGGAGGGGACCCGGCCUUCUUCACGUCUCGUGCAACAAGGGUGAUCAACGCUGACUAUCGCAGCCCAGUGGCGUCGUGCUCUUUAACCACUCGGACGUGGACUUCGUCGUGAAGCCCGGCGACCGCGUCGCAUGGAUGAUCGUCCAUGUGAUCGCGACGCUGGAGAUCGCCGAGGUGGAGGACCUCGAUACCAUCGUUCAGGGUGAGGGAGGAUUCGGGUCCGCCAGCGUCUGAACUCCGAGCCUUGGUAGAUACAUGUAGAGAAGUGGUCUAUUUAGGCUGGUGGUGGAACACUAGGGAGGAUACCCACCUUUGGUUGUGUGUGUUUAAUUUAUUUUGCAUUGGACGUGUAUCUGA